AAACCCAACAGCUUUAACACCUAACUCUACAUUAAAAUGUUUCAGGCUCACUCAUUAACACCCCGCAUUUAUUUUCCGCAGUCUCUGAGCCCACAUUAUAAAGAACGCGUCGUGUUGGCAUACAAACACCACAGUCUCUUUGAAAAUGGCACUGAGAUGAGGCUGCCAGCGACUUCAAUUGUUUUGAAUCUGAGACAAGACCGCAAGUGGCUGAGAUUGUUUUAAGUCUGUGCAAAGAUAUCUGUGAGUCAACGGGAUAACCGCGGUGUCGUUACGGUUGAUUUCUUGCGCACAAUUAAACCCAGAGGAUACAGAUCAAAUCAUCAAGUUUGAAGGAGAGCGAGUGGAAUAUUUGCAGUUUAAAAAGAUCAGCAGUCGACAUGUUUCAGGGAUUGUUGCGCAAGGUAGUUAAAAAGGGCAGCACAGUGCCUGAGCAGCAUGAAGAAGUGGCCAGAAUACCAGGGGCC